CGCCGUCUAUCUUGCGAUCAGCAGCUCUCAUCUCCCUUGCUCUCCAUCCUAUGGCGCGCAGCCUGCAAAGGAUUGGAAAGUGGGACAGAUCUAAAGUCUAGCGAAAUGGUGGGAGAGGGGAGAUAGCAAGGAGACCGUGGUCUUUCAGGUGACCAACCUGCGUAAAUCCCUCCCCUUUAUCGUUUUGGUUCAGUUUAGGAACCCUAAUCGCGAAAUCCUGAUUUUGGAAAUAUUUUUAAACGAAACUUGUGGUGCU
rnacentral:lncRNA from 7 species